GACGAACGCUGGCGGCGUGCUUAACACAUGCAAGUCGAACGGUGAAGCGCCUUCCUUUUUGGUGGGUGUGGAUGAGUGGCGAACGGGUGAGUAACACGUGAGUAACCUGCCCCCUUCUUCUGGAUAACCGCAUGAAAGUGUGGCUAAUACGGGAUAUUCUGGGUCUGUCGCAUGAUGGGUCUGGGAAAGAUAUUGUUUCGGUGGGGGAUGGGCUCGCGGCCUAUCAGCUUGUUGGUGGGGUGAUGGCCUACCAAGGCGGUGACGGGUAGCCGGCCUGAGAGGGUGGACGGUCACACUGGGACUGAGACACGGACCAGACUCCUACGGGAGGCGGCAGUGGGGAAUAUUGCACAAUGGGCGCAAGCCUGAUGCAGCGACGCCGCGUGAGGGAUGGAGGCCUUCGGGUUGUGAACCUCUUUCGCCAGUGAAGCAGGCCUGCCUCGUUUGUGGGUGGGUUGACGGUAGCUGGAUAAGAAGCGCCGGCUAACUACGUG
rnacentral:rRNA from 1 species